AAUAGAUACCCGGGUAGUCCACGCCGUAAACGGAUGUCGACUUGGAGGUUGUUCCCUUGAGGAGUGGCUUCCGGAGCUAACGCGUUAAGUCGACCGCCUGGGGAGUACGGCCGCAAGGUUAAAACUCAAAUGAAUUGACGGGGGCCCGCACAAGCGGUGGAGCAUGUGGUUUAAUUCGAUGCAACGCGAAGAACCUUACCUACUCUUGACAUCCAGAGAACUUAGCAGAGAUGCUUUGGUGCCUUCGGGAACUCUGAGACAGGUGCUGCAUGGCUGUCGUCAGCUCGUGUUGUGAAAUGUUGGGUUAAGUCCCGCAACGAGCGCAACCCUUAUCCUUUGUUGCCAGCGGUUCGGCCGGGAACUCAAAGGAGACUGCCAGUGAUAAACUGGAGGAAGGUGGGGAUGACGUCAAGUCAUCAUGGCCCUUACGAGUAGGGCUACACACGUGCUACAAUGGCGUAUACAAAGAGAAGCGACCUCGCGAGAGCAAGCGGACCUCAUAAAGUACGUCGUAGUCCGGAUUGGAGU
rnacentral:rRNA from 1 species